AUCCUUUGGCUCAUGAGUGUGAUGAUUGGGUGUUCACUCUAUUGUGUGAGACGUACCUCCCUCUAAAUCUUGUUACCACUUUUGCACAUUACCUGUCUGAUG
rnacentral:snoRNA from 1 species